rnacentral:rRNA from 1 species
GACGAACGCUGGCGGCGUGCCUAAUACAUGCAAGUAGAACGCUGAAGGAGGAGCUUGCUUCUCUGGAUGAGUUGCGAACGGGUGAGUAACGCGCAGGUAACCUGCCUGGUAGCGGGGGAUAACUAUUGGAAACGAUAGCUAAUACCGCAUAAGAGUAGAUGUUGCAUGACAUUUGCUUAAAAGGUGCAAUUGCAUCACUACCAGAUGGACCUGCGUUGUAUUAGCUAGUUGGUGAGGUAACGGCUCACCAAGGCAACGAUACAUAGCCGACCUGAGAGGGUGAUCGGCCACACUGGGACUGAGACACGGCCCAGACUCCUACGGGAGGCAGCAGUAGGGAAUCUUCGGCAAUGGACGGAAGUCUGACCGAGCAACGCCGCGUGAGUGAAGAAGGUUUUCGGAUCGUAAAGCUCUGUUGUAAGAGAAGAACGAGUGUGAGAGUGGAAAGUUCACACUGUGAC